rnacentral:rRNA from 1 species
AGAGCAUCUGGUGAAUGCCUUGGCGUCGAGAGGCGAUGAAGGACGUGGCACCCUGCGAUAAGCCUCGGGGAGAUGGGAGCAAUCUUUGAUCCGAGGAUUUCCGAAUGGGGAAACCCACCCCUUUAGGGGUAUCCGUAUCUGAAUACAUAGGGUACGGAGGCAAACCCGGUGAACUGAAACAUCUCAGUAACCGGAGGAAAGGACAUCAACAGAGACUCCCCUAGUAGUGGCGAGCGAACGGGGACCAGGCCAGUGGCGAGUGCGUAAGAACCGGAACCGUCUGGAAAGUCGGGCCUUAGUGGGUGAUAGCCCCGUACGGGUAGAAAGCGCAUUUGUCCUUGAGUAGGGCGGGACACGUGAAAUCCUGUCUGAACGUGGGGGGACCACCCUCCAAGCCUAAGUACUCCUUGACGACCGAUAGUGAACCAGUACCGUGAGGGAAAGGUGAAAAGCACCCCGAUGAGGGGAGUGAAAGAGAUCCUGAAACCGGAUGCUUACAAGCAGUCGGAGGGACCCCCUUUCAAAUCGCCCAGCGAUUUGAAGGAGCUCCAGAUAUUUAUCAAGUCGUGGAGCGAUUUGAUGGGGUGUCCUGACGGCGUACCUUUUGUAUAAUGGGCCAGCGAGUUAGUCUUACGAGCAAGCUUAAGCCGUUAGGUGUAGGCGCAGCGAAAGCGAGUCUGAAUAGGGCGAUUGAGUUCGUGGGAUUAGACCCGAAACCGGGUGAUCUAGGCAUGAGCAGGUUGAAGGUGCGGUAACACGCACUGGAGGACCGAACCCACCUAUGUUGAAAAAUGGGGGGAUGACUUGUGCCUAGGGGUGAAAGGCCAAUCAAACCCGGAAAUAGCUGGUUCUCCGCGAAAACUAUUUAGGUAGUGCGUCUUGUGUUUACCUUCGGGGGUAGAGCACUGGAUGGGCUAGGGGGCCCCACAGGCUUACCAAACCCAACCAAACUCCGAAUACCGAAGAGUACAGCAAGGCAGACAGACUCUGGGUGCUAAGGUCCAGAGUCGAAAGGGAAACAGCCCAGACCACCAGCUAAGGUCCCCAAGUCACGACUAAGUGGAAAAGGAUGUGGGAAGGCCAUGACAACCAGGAGGUUGGCUUAGAAGCAGCCAUCCUUUAAAGAAAGCGUAACAGCUCACUGGUCUAGUUAAGCCGUCCUGCGCCGAAAAUGUACCGGGGCUCAAGUCGUGCACCGAAGCUGUGGACUUCCUUCGGGAAGUGGUAGCGGAGCGUUCCGUAAGCCAGUGAAGGCAAACCGUGAGGGUUGCUGGAGGUAUCGGAAGUGAGAAUGCUGGCAUGAGUAGCGAUAAAGCGUGUGAGAAACACGCUCGCCGAAAGUCCAAGGGUUCCUGCGCAAGGCUAAUCCGCGCAGGGUGAGCCGGCCCCUAAGCCGAGGGCGAAAGCCGUAGGCGAUGGGAACCAGGUUAAUAUUCCUGGGCCGGGUGGAGGUGACGGAUACCGUGUAUCGUACGUCCUUAUCGGAUUGAACGUGCGGUGAAGGUGUCCCUGGAAAUAACCCCACCGUAUCGACCGUACCCGAAACCAACACAGGUGGACUGGUAGAGUAUACCAAGGCGCUUGAGAGAACUGCGUUGAAGGAACUCGGCAAAAUGCCCCCGUAACUUCGGGAGAAGGGGGCCCUCGCACCGGGCAACCGGUGUGGGGGGGCACAGACCAGGGGGUGGCGACUGUUUAUUAAAAACACAGGGCUCUGCGAAGCCGUAAGGCGACGUAUAGGGUCUGACGCCUGCCCGGUGCCGGAAGGUUAAGGAGAGGGGUGCAAGCUCUGAACCGAAGCCCCGGUAAACGGCGGCCGUAACUAUAACGGUCCUAAGGUAGCGAAAUUCCUUGUCGGGUAAGUUCCGACCUGCACGAAUGGCGUAACGACUUCCCCGCUGUCUCCAACGCAGACUCAGCGAAAUUGAAUUCUCCGUGAAGAUGCGGAGUACCCGCGGUUAGACGGAAAGACCCCGUGCACCUUUACUACAGCUUCGCAGUGGCACUAGGAAUUGAUUGUGUAGGAUAGGCGGGAGGCUAUGAAACGUCGACGUCAGUUGGCGUGGAGCCAUCCUUGAAAUACCGCCCUCUUGUUUUCUGGUGUCUAACCGCGGCCCGUUAUCCGGGUCCGGGACCCUGCGUGGUGGGUAGUUUGACUGGGGCGGUCGCCUCCUAAAGAGUAACGGAGGCGCGCGAAGGUAGGCUCAAGCCGGUCGGAAAUCGGCUGUUGAGUGCAAUGGCAUAAGCCUGCCUGACUGCGAGAGUGACGGUUCGAGCAGAGACGAAAGUCGGUCAUAGUGAUCCGGUGGUCCCGCGUGGAAGGGCCAUCGCUCAACGGAUAAAAGGUACGCCGGGGAUAACAGGCUGAUCUCCCCCAAGAGUCCACAU